GUCCCGAUAGCUCAGUUGGCAGAGCGUAGGUCUCAUAAUCCUAAGGUCGUGAGUUCGAGCCUCACUCGGGGCA
rfam:Daphnia pulex DAPPTscaffold_13_Cont874, whole genome shotgun sequence.